rnacentral:lncRNA from 1 species
UGUAACAGGCUUACCCUAACUGAUCAAUCGACCUCGUGACACUGCGCUCUGUAACCUUGUGAUAACCUACCUUGUGACAUUCUUCCCCUGCCCGCAAUAAACGGCUCCUAACUAACUUUCCGGUGCUUACCUCUAACCGAUAACACUAGCUCCAACCCACCACCCUCCACUGACUUCCUUCGCACUCAGCCCACUCGCACCCUGGUGAAUAAACAGACUUGUUGCUCACACUUAGCCUGUUCAGGUUGUCUCUUCAAUUAGAUGUUCGCAUAACAUUUGGUGCCGAAAGCCCGGGAUAGGGGAACUCCUCUGGCAGACCUCUCCUCUAUCCUCCCCGUACCCACGUUCUCGCAUGCAAGAGACUUCCCUCGCCCUCAGGACCUCAGACCAGCUCCGCGAGCACUCCGGCCUCUGUCUAUGGAUCUGAAAUCCAGCACUGGUCACGGACUCUUCUUGGGGAGACAGUCUUCCCUCAGUGUUUGGUCAAUGCCAGGGACGCCCGCCUUGGCCAUUUGCCAGCCACACAACCCAGGACCUCCACUGGGGACGCCCACUGAGGAUCCUAGUGGUUGCUCUUUUCCUUGUCUCUUUCUUUCCCCCCAAUCUUUCCUUGUUCUAUCAUGGGCAAUCUCCCGCCCUCCAUCCCUCUUUCUUCUCUCUGGCUUGUGUCCUCAGAAACCUCAAACCUCUUCAGCUUGCACCCAAUCUAAAGGCUAAACGUCUAAUUUUUUUCUGUAACACGUCCUGGCCCCAAUAUAAAUUAGACAAUGGCGCUCAGUGGCCGGAAAACGGCACUUCCAAUUUCUCUAUUUUGUGGGACUUAGACAACUUCUAUGGCAAAAUGGGCAAAUGGUCUGAGGUACCCUACUUCCAGGCAUUUUUUACAUACGAUCUCUCCCUAGCCUAUGCUUCCACUGUAAUCCAUCCCCAAUUUUCCUUAUUUCCCUUCCGUCUACCCCUCCUUCUUCCACUGGCGAUGCUGACUCCUCUUUGUCUGUUGACCCCUCCGAUCUUUCUCCCCCACCACCUAUCCAAACCUGCUUUAAUUCCCCCCCAGAACCUAUUUCUACCCACAACCCACCCCCUUAUGCCUCUCCCAUUAUCACCCUUCCUCACAUCCUGUCUGGCUUACAGUUUGGGCCUGCGACCAACCCCCAGGCCCCUGCCUAGCAAUUUCCCCUCGGAGAGGCGGCAGGAACCAAAGGAAUAGUUCAGGUUCAGGUCCCUUUCUCCCUGUUUGACCUUGCCCAAAUUAGUGAACAUCUAGGCUCUUUCCCAUCUGACCCCACCAAAUAUAUACAAGAAUUCCAAUACUUUACCCAGUCCUAUAAUCUUACUUGGAAUGACUUAAAUGUCAUCCUUACCUCUACUCUCGCUCCUGAGGAGUGAGAGUGGGUUUGGAUCCUAGCUCAGUCUUAGGCUGAUAACCGCCGGUGCCGUGAGCCUGGCCUCCAGUAAGGUGCUAGGGCAGUACCCUGUGAAGACCCUGGAUGGACUUACCAGGCCGCGGACCGAGGCAUAGCCAGGCGGGACUACAUGAUCUCUUGCCUAGUUCAAGGGCUUCAGAAGGCUGCAUAUAAAGCCAUCAAUUAUGACAAA